rnacentral:rRNA from 1 species
AUUGAACGCUGGCGGCAGGCCUAACACAUGCAAGUCGAGCGAGCGGCGGACGGGUGAGUAAUGUAUGGGGAUCUGCCUGAUGGAGGGGGAUAACUACUGGAAACGGUGGCUAAUACCGCAUACCAUCAGAUGAACCCAUAUGGGAUUAGCUUGUAGGUAUGGUAACGGCUCACCUAGGCGACGAUCCCUAGCUGGUCUGAGAGGAUGAUCAGCAACACUGGGACUGAGACACGGCCCAGACUCCUACGGGAGGAAGCAGUGGGGAAUAUUGCACAAUGGGCGCAAGCCUGAUGCAGCCAUGCCGCGUGUAUGAAGAAGGCUUUCGGGUUGUAAAGUACUUUCAGGCGGGAGGCGUUACCGACAGAGGAAGCAACGGCUAACUCCGUGCCAGCAGCCGCGGUAAUAC